AGACUCAGGCCUGGCUGUGGGGCUCAGGAAGCAGAGUCUGGGGGCAUCUCCACCAUGGACUGGGCUGUACUUCUCCUCACUGUCCUGGCUCACUGCACAGGGUCUUGGGCCCAGUUUGUGCUGACUCAGCCCGGCUCUGUGUCUGGGUCUCUGGGACAGAAGGCCACCAUCUCCUGCACUCGCAGCAGCGGCAACAUUGGGAGCAGAUAUGUGCACUGGUACCAACAGCGCCCAGGCAGGGGCCCCACCACUGUGAUCUAUGAUAAUAACAAAAGACCCUCUGGGGUUCCAGAUCGGUUCUCUGGCUCCAUAGACAGUUCCUCCAACACUGCCUCCCUGACCAUCUCAGGGCUGCAGCCUGAGGACGAGGCUGACUACUAUUGUCUGUCUUCUGAGAGUAGUGGUUAUUACAUGGUGCUGCAGAGUCAGGGGGAAGUGCGUGUGGGUCCUGGAGACAGACAGGAGCAGCGGGUGGGUGAGGAGCAGACACUGAGGACAGAAGACAGCACGGCCCCCUUGAGCACGUGA